rnacentral:sRNA from 1 species
UGCGCGACGGACUGCGCUGCUCGGCAGGGAGCUUGAGCUAAGGGAGCAUCAGGAAGGUGACAGUCAGGACGACUGGGUCAGGGAAGGCAGUAGGGAUAGAAAAAAGUGGGGGGCGGAUUAUUCCGCCCCCUUUUUU